rnacentral:rRNA from 1 species
UUUUGUUGGGGGAGUAAAGCGGGGCACGCGUGCCUUUUUGCAUUUACCCUUCGAAUAAGGACCGGCUAAUUCCGUGCCAGCAGCCGCGGUAAUACGGAAGGUCCAGGCGUUAUCCGGAUUUAUUGGGUUUAAAGGGAGUGUAGGGCGGUCUGUUAAGCGUGUUGUGAAAUUUAGGUGCUCAACAUCUACCUUGCAGCGCGAACUGGCGGACUUGAGUGCACGCAACGUAUGCGGAAUUCAUGGUGUAGCGGUGAAAUGCUUAGAUAUCAUGACGAACUCCGAUUGCGAAGGCAGCGUACGGGAGUGUUUACUGACGCUUAAGCUCGAAGGUGCGGGUAUCGAACAGGAUUAGAUACCCUGGUAGUCCGCACGGUAAACGAUGGAUGCCCGCCUGUUAGCGCCUGGCGUUAGCGGCUAAGCGAAAGCAUUAAGCAUCCCACCUGGGGAGUACGCCGGCAACGGUGAAACUCAAAGGGAAUUGACGGGGGCCCGCACAAGCGGAGGAACAUGUGGUUUAAUUCGAUGAUACGCGAUGCACAUUGCCCCU